rnacentral:rRNA from 1 species
AUUCCGGUUGAUCCUGCCGGACCCGACUGCUAUCGGCAUGGGAUUAAGCCAUGUUAGUCGUGCGUCCUCCGGCUGUGGAGGGCGCGGCGUACGGCUCAGUAGCACGUAGUCAACCUACCUUGGAGACGCGGACAAUCCCGGGAAACUGGGGCUAAUCCGUGAUAGGUUCGGAGUCCUGGAAUGGCUUCGAGCUCAAAGGGUUGGAGGAGCAUGCUUCUUUUAUUGCUCCAAGAUGGGACUGCGGCCGAUCAGGUUGUUGGCGGGGUAAUGGCCCACCAAGCCUAUAACCGGUGCGGGCUCUGACAGGAGGAGCCCGGAGAUGGACACUGAGAUAAG